GUCCCCAUCGUCUAGAGCCCCAGGACCCCGGGUUCUCAGUCCGGUAACAGGGGUUCAAAUCCCCUUGGGGAUA
rnacentral:tRNA from 1 species